GCCCUUAGAGUUUGAUCAUGGCUCAGAACGAACGCUGGCGGCAGGCCUAACACAUGCAAGUCGAGCGCGUCCUUCGGGGCGAGCGGCGGACGGGUGAGUAACGCGUGGGAACGUACCCUUCGGUGCGGAAUAUACCAGGGAAACUUGGGGCAAUACCGCAUACGCCCUUUUGGGGAAAGAUUUAUCGCCGAGGGAUCGGCCCGCGUUGGAUUAGGUAGUUGGUGGGGUAACGGCCCACCAAGCCGACGAUCCAUAGCUGGUUUGAGAGGAUGAUCGGCCACACUGGGACUGAGACACGGCCCAGACUCCUACGGGAGGCAGCAGUGGGGAAUCUUGGACAAUGGGGGAAACCCUGAUCCAGCCAUGCCGCGUGAGCGAUGAAGGCCUUAGGGUUGUAAAGCUCUUUCGCCUGGGAAGAUAAUGACGGUACCAGGUAAAGAAGCCCCGGCUAACUCCGUGCCAGCAGCCGCGGUAAUACGGAGGGGGCUAGCGUUGUUCGGAAUUACUGGGCGUAAAGCGCGCGUAGGCGGACUGGAAAGUUGGGGGUGAAAUCCCGGGGCUCAACCCCGGAACUGCCUCCAAAACUGUCAGUCUUGAGGUCGAGAGAGGUGAGUGGAAU
rnacentral:rRNA from 1 species